rnacentral:ncRNA from 1 species
AUAAAUGCUUGGAAGGGAACAAAGUAGUUCUUGCAUGUUGCUUAAAGAGAGCUGAUGGUUGGUGAAAAUCAGUACACUUGCAAGGAGCGAAUUUCAUUCUUGGAGCAGCUUAUUCAGCGUAGAAUAAGACGGUUAUCAAUCGUUAAAACAAUGAAGUGGUAAGCUUAUUUGUUUGCAAAUAGGGUGGUAACGCGAUAAUUAAAUCGUCCCUACU